rnacentral:lncRNA from 1 species
UUAUCUAUUAUUUAUUCAUCUUUAUUAAUAGAUUCACAUUGAGUCGUAACAUAAUCUGAUACAUUAUAUGAUAAUUAAUAUAUAGCAAUUAGCAUUUUGGCUUUUUCAGAUUUUAUAUCUUAAUAGAGGUAAACAUAAACACUAGUGUACAGCAUUCCAUUUAAAACCAAGACAUUUUUCAAAAUUGUUAAAGAUUAUAACCUUUAAAAAGUCACUUAUCAUAGGCUUCGAUUUAAUAUUUUUGUAUACGUUUUUCAUAUAAUUUCAUAUUUUGAAAAAUAUAUUUUUAAAAUGUUUAAUUCUCUGUUUAUUGAGUUUUCAAAUAUGUUUACAAAUAGGUAAAGUACUGUGCAAAAGACAAAUAACUAAAAUGACAUUGGGUACAAGUCAUGGCCAAACAGCAGUUCAACAUCCAUAUGUGUAUAGAAGUUCCACAUAGAUUGCACAAUUAUUCAGGUAAAUUGAUUGGAAACAAAAAAUUAAAAACCUUGCAUUGGACAUGAAACAGGAUAUCUGGAGCUAGCAUGGAUUAGAGUCGCCCAUAUAUAUAGGUAAAGGGAAUCUUUCAAUUGGUCAUUGCCUCAAUGUGGUGGACUUCAUGGUUUGAUCCCAGACCCGCACGUAAUAGGUAACAUCCAUUAUGCACUCACACUAUAGCUAGUCUGAGAAUUGUAAGAAUCUUCAUAAAAAGGAGAGGAGAGAGAAAAAUCAACUAGGAGAAGAGGGGGCAAAACCUUUUUUUUCUAGUAGUUGGUAUUACAUUUCCUAAUGCACUAUCAAGUCUGCUGUAUCAAUGUGUAUUCAGUCCAUAUCUUGGAACAGUAGAGAGAGCUACAUGAAGUGUAUCACGUUAUGUGUCAUUGUCCUAGCCAUGGGUCCUAGAUCUUAAGGAAAUGUUUAGAGGUUUCAUGAAUUUUAGCCGUAAAUCUGUCCAUCUCAACUGUAUGUAUGGUUACGCUUUGUUUUUAUUGAAUAAACCUGCAUUUGUUGCUCUAACUUGGUACCUGUUAUUCCCUUGUUACUUUGGGAGGAUUGAAGUAUUCUACCAGUGGAAGCAUUAGAAGAUCUACAUCCCACUUUUAGCUGUUUUACCUGAGCCAGUGACCAACAUGCUCAUGAAAAUGUGAGUGGGAUACUAUAUAUACAUUGCUAUAUCCACUGAUUGAUACAGACUAUAUUGCCCUAUUAUGAGCAUUUUAUUUUUCAGAUUUAUUGAAAUCCUAUCUGUUUUUAAGUAUUCUUGUAUUUUUUUUACCUAUUCACUUAUGUAUAAACUAAUAUUCACACAGGGAAAGGUUGAGAUACAGGCAAUAUAGUCUGUAUCAAUCAGUGCGCUCUCCACUGUUGUUUUUGUAUUUUGGUUUAUUUGGUAUAAUUUAGUGAUUGAUUUCACUGUGUAUUUGUAGCAGCACCAUAACAAGCACCCAGUUAUAUCACAUAUUCUAUUUCUUGCGAUCUUUCGAUCCUGUCUUUUUUUCUUGUACCAGAUAAACUGAUUUAUCUGUGAUUGUAAUAUUUGAAGUCUGUGGGAGAAAUAGGGAUAGGAAGGGCCUGGAAAAAUAAUUUUAUAUAUUGAUUUAUUUUAUUUUUGAAAUAUUUUUUUCUGACAUUUUAAUACUUUGAAAAAAGUAUUUUAAAAGUUUAUCCAAAAAUAAAUUAUUUGAAAAGCUUAUCUAAAAAUAUUAAAUUAAGACCAUAGAUUGAAAGAAAAUGCUUGUGUAAAUGUAUGUCUUCUUGGCAAUGCAUAUAUGUGGUGGACUCUGAAUAUAAAGAGGGAGGGACCAAGUAAUUUAGAAUAUACAUUUAAAUCAUAAUGUUCUUAGAUUUCUUUGAGUAGUUAACAGGUCUUGACAAUGUCUUCCUUCCUUUUUUUUAAAAAUCACAUGACAACUGCAUAUGUAUAGAUAGACACGUAUAUUUAUGCUUGUAAUGUAUUGUGUCUGAAUCUGUAAGAAUAUGAAUAUGCUGCUGUGUAUACGCAUGCAGGGUUAAAGAUAAUGUAAGAAGAGGUUAGGGUAAAUGGGGGUUUAAGGUUAGGAAUGGAUUAAUGUCAGAGUUAGAUUACCUAGGGUGUUUUAGAGGAUUAAAAGCUUGAGAUGGGUUAUAAUUGUGGCAUAUGGUGUUUGCAAUUAUUGAGUUUAGGGCAAGGGUUGGGUUACAUUUUUAUUGGGGUACAUGGUGUGUUUACUUGUUAAAGUGGCACUGUCAUGCCGAAUUCUGUUUUUUUUUUAACCCCCCUCCCGUCUCCACUACAUCCAAUUGACCCACUAGUCACCCCCAAAUGCCCCUAAGCCCCCCACAUUACCUAUUUUUUAAUCCUUAUUUUCUGCCCCGAAUUCUAUAUUCAGGGCGCCGCCAUCUUUGUGUGGGUAGGUGAAGUCCCUGUGGGACACGUCAUCAGCCCACACUAGGCAGACUGUGAGAUUCCCGCACAUGCCCAGUGAAACACCUGGACAUGCGAACGGGAAUUUCAUCUAUUCACUCAUUCAUCAGACAGACGAAUGAGUGAAUAGAAAUAUCAGCCGAACAAACAAACACAAUGUAUCAGUGUAUGUUUGUUCGUGCAGGUUAUUACAAGGAGGGAGCUACCGGCGUGCAGCUCCCUCCUUGUAAUAUGUAAAGAUAGAAGUAGCAGGGAGCUGUGCUCCCCACCACUUCAUAAGCCCCCCCCAGGUCCCCCUCUCACUCUAUGGGGAUCAAUAUGACCCCCAUAAUAGCACAAGGGAGAUUUAAAUCUCCCAAAUGCCCCUACUCGCUAUACCGCGAGUAGGGGCAUGUCCACUAAACAGUGAGCAGCCUGUGGCUGCUCACUGUAAAAAAUAAAUAAAAAAACAACUAUUGGCCCCCACCCCUAAACGACAGGUGGGGGCCAUAAUGAGAAUGAGGGAGGGGCAGUACUCCCCCCCCCCGGCCCCCACCCCU